GGUAUCAUGACUAAUGCUCAUCUAAAGAACGGCGAUAACGCUCCCCGGACGAAUAUGGUUUUUAAUGUUUUCUUUUGGUGUCGUACGCAACAUGAGUUGUAAAUAUGUGAUCGGUCCGCGCUGGAGAAUAAAGAAUCACAAUCGAGCACGGUAAGCGAUUUAUCUUUUACUGAACAUGAAUUGUUUUUACGCCCGUAGUUCAAAGCUAAUGUUACUGAGAAACUGAUGAUCGGAUGUGAACGAACAUCGAAGUUACCGGAACGAUAUAUUCGCA